rnacentral:lncRNA from 1 species
AACGGUCCAUAUCGGUCGAUCCCAAAUCGCGAUGGACUCACCGCUGGGGUCUCCUGGUCGCUCUCUGAAGUCGUGUCGCUGCUGACGCUGUCCGGCCUCCUGGGGACAGCCGCAGACACUGACCCCGGCCCCCCAGGGGCGGCGGUCUGGGAGGGUGUGGAGGCCGCUCUAAGGGGCGUCUUCACAGGGGUGGUGGGAGGGGCCUCAUCCUCGCUGUCCGAGGACUCGGUCUCACUGGAGCUCUCUGCGGCCUGGGCUGCUCUGGUGGCGGCGGCCUCCGGGGUCUUCUUGGCUGAAGGAGCGGCUCCGACCGCUUUGGUCUUGGGUGCAGCAGUGACCCGAGCGGCCGGGGCGGUCGUGGUGGCGGGAGGUUUUUUGGGGGCGUCCCCAUCAUCACUUUCCUCACUGGACUCAGUGGUGGACCCAGCAGAGGGCGUGGCCCCAGUGGGGCCCGGGGCCGCAGGAGGGGGGGCCUUGGAGGGUGUAGAGGCCGCUCUGAGGGGCGUCUUAGGUGUGGUGGGAGGGGCCUCAUCGUCAGUCCCCGAGGAAUCCGUCUCACUAGAGCUCUUGGCGGCCUGGGCCGGUCUGGCGGCAGCAGGAGAAGCCUUCCUAUUGGCUGUCGGCGUGGCUGCCUGUUGGUUCCCAGGCAGCGAUCCCUCGUCGCUGUCUGAAGACGACUCGCUGCUGUCGCUGUCUGCCUUCCUGGGGCCUCCAGCGGGGGUCCUGGCAGCGGGGGUCCUGGCAGCGGGGGUCCAGGCAGCGGGGGUCUUGGCGGUGGGGGUCCUGGCGGCGGGGGUCUUGGCGGCGGGGGUCUUGGCAGCGGGGGUCCUGGCAGCGGGGGUCUUGGCGGGCGUGGCGGCAGCCAGCGGGGUCUUCUUGGCUGAAGAAGCAGCUCUGAGCGCUUUAGUCUUGGGCGCCGGUGUGCCUGGAGCAGCCGGGCUGGUGGUGGUGGUGGAGGCCUCCUGCGGUGGAUCAGCGGCUCCAUCUUCAUCACUAGACUCACUGCUGGACGAGGCCGGGGGUUUGGACUUGGUAGGACCAGCCGCUGCCUUCACUGGGGGUUUGACAGCCUGGGUCGGGGUGGUCGGUCUCGCUGGGGGCUUUGUUCUCUGUUUUUUCAAACGUUGGAAGAAAAUCAGUGAGGAAUGA